rnacentral:rRNA from 1 species
CUGGCUCAGGACGAACGCUGGCGGCGUGCUUAACACAUGCAAGUCGAACGCUGAAGCCUAGCUUGCUGGGUGGAUGAGUGGCGAACGGGUGAGUAACACGUGAGUAACCUGCCCUCUUCUUUGGGAUAACGCCCGGAAAUGGGUGCUAAUACUGGAUAUUCACUGGUCUUCGCAUGGGGGUUGGUGGAAAGGGUUUUUCUGGUGGGGGAUGGGCUCGCGGCCUAUCAGCUUGUUGGUGGGGUGAUGGCCUACCAAGGCUUUGACGGGUAGCCGGCCUGAGAGGGUGACCGGUCACAUUGGGACUGAGAUACGGCCCAGACUCCUACGGGAGGCAGCAGUGGGGAAUAUUGCACAAUGGGCGCAAGCCUGAUGCAGCGACGCCGCGUGAGGGAUGGAGGCCUUCGGGUUGUGAACCUCUUUCGCUCAUGGUCAAGCCGCAACUGUGGGUUGUGGUGAGGGUAGUGGGUAAAGAAGCGCCGGCUAACUACGUGCCAGCAGC